CCACAGAACUAGUGUCAAGGAUCUGGAGACCUGAUCCUCAGAGAUCCAUGCACCAGUUACAUACAUAUGUCUGUACACACACUGGAGUCCUGCACACACACACAGCAGUUACAUACAGAUGUCUGUACACACACUGGAGUCCUGCACACACACACAGCAGUUACAUACAGAUGUCUGUACACACACUGGAGUCCUGCACACACAGCAGCUACAUACAGAUGUCUGUAUACACACUGGAGUCCUGAACACACAGCAGCUACAUACAGAUGUCUGUAUACACACUGGAGUCCUGAACACACAGCAGCUACAUACAGGUGUCUGUACCCACACUGGAUUCCUGUACGCGCACCAGUUGCACAGAUGAGUUGAAAAUCCAGCACAUACUACUGGAAAUUUCCUUCCCCUUGCGUUUAAUUCUCGUUAUGGAUAUGAAUUUAACUUUCUGAUGCAAAACAUUUGGGGUGUGUCCCAAAUAUGACAACAUUGAUAUUUUUGAAGAUAACAUAUGAUGUAAUAAAAGCAUGUAAUAUGCAGCAGUUGCUAGGAGCUCCAGACCUGUAUGGUUGCGGGUUCAAAGCCCAGGUGAGGCACAGCUGGUGGAGCCUUGAGCAAGGUGCUUCCUCGAAAUUAAUGUAUUAUAAGCGUACACACACUGGAUUCCUGUACGCGCACCAGUUGCACAGUUGAGCUGAAAAUCCAGCACAUACUACUGGUAAUUUCCUUCCUCUUUCAAACAUAAGACAAUAUCCUCUUUCCCUUUUUUUGCCACAAGAGGGGGGGGUGGGCAGACGGAGUGGGAGGAGCAGUCCACGAAUAUUUCACACCACAGACAGAGUGAGCGGAGUCUGUUUCGGCUGCUGAAUUCAGACUGAGAGCACUCAGGACCACUCUACCGAGCAGGCGCACAGGACGGGAAAGGGAGUGGCAGGAGGGGCCUCCUUCCCCGCUGGAA